UACGUAGGUGGCAAGCGUUGUCCGGAAUUAUUGGGCGUAAAGCGCGCGCAGGUGGUUUCUUAAGUCUGAUGUGAAAGCCCACGGCUCAACCGUGGAGGGUCAUUGGAAACUGGGGAACUUGAGUGCAGGAGAGAAGAGUGGAAUUCCACGUGUAGCGGUGAAAUGCGUAGAGAUGUGGAGGAACACCAGUGGCGAAGGCGACUCUUUGGCCUGUAACUGACACUGAGGCGCGAAAGCGUGGGAGCAACAGGAUAGAUACC
rnacentral:rRNA from 1 species